rnacentral:lncRNA from 10 species
GAAUUAUUCCACUACUUUCAUGCCUUUUAUCAAUGAACUUAAAUGGAGUUAAGUGAGAAGGUUACUUUGCCAAGUAGGUUUGUGUAUCGGGUCGAAUGAUGUCCCCCCAAAAUUCAUGUGCACCCAUCUCAGACUGUGAAUUUAUUUAGAAAUAGGGUCUUUGCAGAUGUCAUGAGUUCAGAUGAGGUCAUGGUGGAAUAGAGUAGGCUCUAAGUACAACAUGAGUGGGGCCUUUAUAAGAAGAGGAGAGGACAUACAGAGACGCUGAGACAUAGAGAGAAGGCCAUGUGAAGACGGAGGCAGGUAUUGGGAUGAUGUAGUUACACGCCAAUGAUCACUGGGAACCACCAGAAGCCAGGGGAGAGAGGCAUGGGAUGGAGCAUCUCUCAGAGCCCCCAGAAGGAGCCAACCUUGUCAACACCCUGAUUUUUUUUUGUUUGUUUGUUUUUUUGAGACAGAGUUUCGCUC